UGGUAUCAAGAACUCCUAAGUUAGGGAAGUUAAAAGAUAAAAAGAAAAUAGUAUAAGGAAACAGUCAAAAAAAAAAAAUAAAUAAAUAAAAAAAAAAAAAAAAAGGAAGUCCAGAAUAGAAAAGGGCCGAGCCCAAACAUCCAAAUUUCUUAGGGUUUUCUCUCCUUUUCCAAAGAAAAGCCAAAGCUGCAUUUACCCCCCUUUCAAAUGGUGCGGCACAGGGAAACCAGGGGCACCACCCCAACUCCGGCAAACCCCUCCCGGUCGUCGUCGUCAGGGUUGUCAACAACGUUACCCGCGUCGGGAGCGACGUCGUUCUUCGCGGCACUCUACUUCUUCGUCGUCUCCCGCGUGCACGGCCCAAUCCUGCCACCAACGUUGCGCCGCAGACAUCGGCAACCGCUUCGACUCCGCCGCCACCGACGCUCAUCCAAGGACGUGGCGUCUGUAGACCGCCGCUCUUCGUUUGCUUAGAGUUCUACAUGAUGGAGGGAAAUGGUGGCUUCGUAGUUGCGCAAUUGUUGUGAGAAAGUAUAGGGAAGGCCAAAAACCUAACACGGAUGAAUGGAAAACAAGGAUACAGUACCAGACCGCGCAACAGACAAAGUAACUCCCCGAUAUAAUUACAUAGUUUAAUUCAAACACCAGCGGGCAUUAUCAAACCAAAUUGGUACUGGACACGAUGAGAUACUUGAAGAAUCUCUUCUUCCUUGACUUCCUGUUUCUAAAUGUGGCUUUUGUUGCUUUGUGUUGAAUGGUGGUUGAUGAAUGAUCCCGUCGGCAAAGGGAGUCAAAGCUAGUUGGGAAUGUUGUUGAUGUUGAGUGGGAGAAUCGGGUUCUUUUGUGCGCUCUUGAGUUCCCCUACUGUGGUUGCUGUGAUAAGGUGAAUGGCGUUAGUGCUGGAGGUCCUGGUAUCAGGAGCUCUCUCCUCAACUGGUUCGGUAUUGGUGAUGAAUCUUCAAAGUUCAAAAUCCGUUGGCCAGAAACUUGAGGUAAGUGUGGGGAGCAGAGAAAAAUCAGAGCAAGAGGGAGUUCCUUUGUUUUGUUCGUCCUCCGUGAAUGAUAUAUGGUAUCCCUUUUUUUAAGUUUUAAUCCCCUUCUCUAAGGAAGUCAACUUUCUUUUCGUCCCCCUAAUCGAGAGUAUCCGUUGAUGAUCCAGAGUCACCUGCCGAAGCCGCCUGCCGAUGCCGCCACCUUUGUCAAACGCCAUUCCCCUUCGAUGUAUAGUCGGUCGCCGAAAAACAAGGGGUACAGGAGCUUUUUUCCAAAAAACGAAAAUUUGUUGCGUGUAGAAGUAUUCGCUGUUUGUGUGUUGCAGGAUAGAAGCGUCUGAGAAUGAAGACUGACUGAUAACGAAAAGAAGGACAAGACUACUAUUCCAAAAGAGAAAAUAAGUUGACUA